rnacentral:rRNA from 1 species
UACGUAGGGGGCUAGCGUUGUCCGGAAUCAUUGGGCGUAAAGAGCGUGUAGGCGGCCCGGUAAGUCCGCUGUGAAAGUCGGGGGCUCAACCCUCGAAUGCCGGUGGAUACUGUCGGGCUAGAGUGCGGAAGAGGCGAGUGGAAUUCCUGGUGUAGCGGUGAAAUGCGUAGAUAUCAUGAGGAAUACCAGAGGCGAAGGCGGCUACCUGGACAAUUGCUGACGCUCGAGGCACGAAAGCGUGGGGAGCAAAAGGG